rnacentral:rRNA from 1 species
AUGAGCAAGAGCUUAAGCCCUCGCUACCAAGGGCUCUCCACCUACGAGAAGAAGUAUAUUGCUAUUGUCGUCGCAGUAGAUCAAUGGCGAAUGUACUUGCGGCACAAAGAAUUCAUCAUCCACACAGACCAGAAGAGCUUAGUCCAUCUCGAAGAGCAGCGUCUCACUACACCCUGGCAGCAGUGGGCGUUUACCAAGAUACUCGGCCUUCAUUACAUCAUCAGAUACAAAAAAGGGACUGAGAACACAGCGGCUGACGCGCUGUCACGUGCCAAUUCACCAACAAUACUAUUCACCGUCACUUCAUGCCGCCCCAGUUGGCUCCAGGACGUCGUCAACAACUACAUUUGUAACCCGCAAGCCGAGAAGCUGCUCGCGCAACUGGCCAUCUGCGAAGAUCCAAAAGGUCGUUUCACACUCUAG